rnacentral:rRNA from 1 species
AUUCCAGCUCCAAUAGCGUAUAUUAAAGUUGUUGCAGUUAAAAAGCUCGUAGUUGGAUUUCUGGUAGGAGCGACCGUGCCGAACUUGAUUGUUCGUGUAUUGUGUUGUCUUCAGCCAUCCUCGUGGAGAACUUUUCUAACAUUAACUUGUUGGGAUUGGGACCCGCGUCGUUUACUGUGAAAAAAUUAGAGUGUUUAAAGCAGGCAUUAGCUUGAAUACAUUAGCAUGGAAUAAUAAGAUAGGACUUUGGUACUAUUUUGUUGGUUUGCAUACCAAAUUAAUGAUCAACAGGAACAGUUUGAGGAUAUUCGUAUGAACAUGUCAGAGGUGAAAUUCUUGGAUUUUGAUCAGACGAACUACUGCGAAAGCAUUUAUCAAGGAUGUUUUCAUUG